UCUUGUCAGAAAAGUUGAAGUACAAGUCAACAAAAAAAAAUAAAAAUCUCGCCUCUUCGAUUCCUCGUCUUCGAUCGAUGGAAGGCGGGCGGCGUCGGCUCCUCCCCAUUUCUACCGUAGCCACAGAGGUGUCCUUCCUUGUCCCUGGCUUCCUCUUCCAACCACAGACGAGAAGCUCGUUGUGUACCUGGACGGCAAGAUCCGCAGCCAGCUAAUCGCCGAGGCGAACCUCGACUAGCGCAAGCCAUUGGACCUCCUCGGCCGCUCCAGAUUCGCAGCCCCAGAUUGGGUACUUCUUCAUCCCUCUGGACCGCGAGUUCUCUGACCGAUCACGGACUCACCGCGUCACAUGAAACGGUGUGGGGCACACACUGGGCCUACAUUAGCUCCGCCCAUGGGAGGAGGCGUAUGGUAUGACAGAUCUUGAGGAAGAGUGAGAAGAGGAAGUGAUCGACGGUGUGGGGAAGAUGAGUUCAAAUCGAAAGAGGGCUGUUUGCAGUUCAGUAUCUCCUCAGAUUCCAUUCAAGGAAGACAAAGAAGUUCACGAUGACACAACCAAUUACAGUUUGCUUCAGAAUUCUUCCUUGUGGUGUUCAGAGACAGAGAAGCAUGUCAGGGUUCAUGAAUCAUCACUUGGUGAAAGGACGGAUACCAGACUUUAAAUGGAACAUGUAACGCAAUCCUAACAAAUUAUUGAAUUUACUGGCCCACAAAGUUCUCCAACGCAGCUUUCCCGAGUUCCAAGUAAGUUUCAAUCCCCACUCUCCCUAGGCAUUUUCCUAGCUGCUUAGAGUAUGGAUUUCAGAGAAAAUUUCAUUUUACCACUAAACUUUUGUUAUUUUUUAGAAUGGCCUUUAGAAUUUCACUAUUAUCAUUUUACCUUUGUACUUUUGUGAAUGUCGUCAAAAUACCCCCUGUAGUUUCUCUCUAUUAUCAUUUUAUUCUACACUUUACGAUGUUGUUGAUUUGUCCAUCCGUGAUUGUUAAUGGCAAAGAGGAUAAAUUGACAAUUUAAUUCUAUGAAAGUAUGAGGAUAAUAUGGUGAAAUUGCAGAAAUUAUCUCGACAAUAAUUGAGAAAGUGCAGAGGUAAAAUAACAAUAGUGAAACUACAUGGCCAUUUUGAAAAAGCAAUAAAAGUUUAGGGGUAUAAUAAAAUUUUCUUGGGCUCUGCCACCACAUUAUAUAAGCUUUUCUAUAGUCAAAAUUCAACUAUUAUUUCAUUUUACAUAAUUAUUUUUAAAAAAGAGUUU